rnacentral:rRNA from 1 species
AGAGUUUGAUUCUGGCUCAGAACGAACGCUGGCGGCGUGGAUAAGACAUGCAAGUGGAACGCUGAUUACCGGGUAGCAAUAUUCGGAGGUCGGAGUCGCGUAAGGGUGCGUAACACGUGGGCAAUUUGCCGCGAAGACCGGGAUAACUCCGAGAAAUCGGAGCUAAUACCGGAUGUGGUUUUUCGAAGGCAUCUUCGGAAACUCAAAGUUGGGGACCGCAAGGCCUGACACUUCGCGAUAAGCCCGCGGCCUAUCAGCUAGUUGGCGAGGUAACGGCUCACCAAGGCGAAGACGGGUAGCUGGUCUGAGAGGACGACCAGCCACACUGGAACUGAGACACGGUCCAGACACCUACGGGUGGCAGCAGUCGAGAAUUUUUCACAAUGGGCGCAAGCCUGAUGGAGCGACGCCGCGUGGGGGGUGAAUGGCUUCGGCCCGUAAACCCCUGUCAUGCGCGAGCAAUUCGGAUAACCUAAUACGUCAUCCGUUGAUAGUAGCGCAAGAGGAAGGGACGGCUAACUCUGUGCCAGCAGCCGCGGUAAUACAGAGGUCCCAAGCGUUGUUCGGAUUCACUGGGCGUAAAGGGUGCGUAGGUGGCUGGGUAAGUCUUAUGUGAAAUCCCGCGGCUUAACCGUGGAACGGCAUAGGAUACUAUCCGGCUUGAGGGUUGGAGGGGGGGACUGGAAUUCUCGGUGUAGCAGUGAAAUGCGUAGAUAUCGAGAGGAACACCAGUGGCGAAGGCGGGUCCCUGGACAACUCCUGACACUGAGGCACGAAAGCUAGGGGAGCAAACAGGAUUAGAUACCCUGGUAGUCCUAGCCUUAAACGGUGCAUGUUUGCUGUGAGAGGAAUCGACCCCUUUCGUGGCGUAGCUAACGCGUUAAACGUGCCGCCUGGGGAGUACGGCCGCAAGGUUAAAACUCAAAGAAAUUGACGGGGGCCUGCACAAGCGGUGGAGUAUGUGGCUCAAUUCGAUGCAACGCGAAGAACCUUACCUGGCCUUGACAUGCAUGUGGUAGAAGGGUGAAAGCCCGACGACCCCGAAAGGGGAGCUUGCACAGGUGCUGCAUGGCUGUCGUCAGCUCGUGUCGUGAGAUGUUGGGUUAAGUCCCGCAACGAGCGCAACCCCUGUGUCCUGUUGCCACCUGGUCGAGAGACUGGAGCACUCUGGAGAGACUGCCUCGCUUCAACGAGGAGGAAGGUGGGGAUGACGUCAAGUCAGUAUGGCCCUUACGGCCAGGGCUGCACACGUACUACAAUGCCCGGUACAAUGGGAAGCAACACGGUAACGUGGAGCAAAUCCCCAAAACCGGGCCCAGUUCAGAUUGUCGUCUGCAACUCGACGGCAUGAAGCUGGAAUCGCUAGUAAUGGCGCAUCAGCUACGGCGCCGUGAAUACGUUCCCAGGCCUUGUACACACCGCCCGUCACAUCAUGAAAGCCGGCUGUACCCGAAGUCCAUGUGUUAGCCGCAAGGAAACAGUGGCCGAAGGUAUGACUGGUGAUUGGGAUGAAGUCGUAACAAGGUA